GGAGUUAGCUGGCUGCUGUGAGGACAAGGAAGAGUUGGUGCCUAGAGGAGGUGCCUACAAGAAACAUCAAGGAGGUGUGAAACUCUGGGAGACAGCAAAGCAGUUGUCAGCUCUUCUUCCCAUGCAGGGAUCAGGUCUGAGGAGAGACAAGAGAACAGGUUUUCAUGCAGAACAUGCUAUGACACUGGUUUAUAAACUCACACCAUGUGCCUGAUUCUGAAAUGAAAACUGUCUGGGGGCUGACCCCUUGUCCAAAUCAAAGAUUUCAAGAUGCAUUGUAUGGCUCCAAGAAGAGAGAGCAACACUCCUCCUUGUGUUACACCUCAGACUUUCCAUUAAAAGGGAUGAAUGUAAUUACAAAUUCCUGCAGGUCAAGAAAAUUGAAUCCUGGUCUUCCACCUCACAGCUGGAUUACAAAAAAAACCCUGCCUUUAGUGAUUUGAAUAUCUUAAAUAUUAUAUAAAUAUCACAUGCUAAGUCUAAAACACUGCACCUUCUUAAUGCUCUGACUUCAGCAGAAUUUCAGUAAUUCAGCUGCCUCUGGGGCCCCCUUUAUCUGAAUAUGCGGCAAACACAUAAAAGUCACCCCUCAAAUGUGAUGGAGAACAAUCAACCCUUAUGGUGCUUUUCCUCAAACUGCAUCAAAGUGGUAACCAAAACUGAGUUGCAAAUAGAUUUUAUGUAUUUAUAAGGUACAGUGGAAAAGAUUUAGGAAGAGGAUAUUUAUAAUAGAGCUUUUUCACAAAAUAACUCUGUGCAGGACAAUAUAAUAUUACAGAGCAUAUCAGACCUUUACAUUAAGAAUGUAAUCUAUUUUUAUAAUGGAACUAUAAGAGUUUCUGCUGAUGUUUUGAAGACUGAAAUGUGUUUUUCUCCUCCCUGAGCUGAUUAUUUUUUCUCAAUUUGGCAUCUUAUUUGUACCGUUUCUUCUUAUACAAUUUUAUUGUGACAUCUGGCUGUAAAAUAAAAAAUGUAGCCUACAGGAAAACUUAGAAUUGUGCUCCCCACAGUGCAUCAGUCAGACAAUAAAAUAGCCAUCACUAGAAAAGUGUGUUUACAAAAGCUACUCUUUGUAAAUAGAAAGGAUUUUUUUCUGGCUUUACAUCUGAGUGAAUACAGAGGGACAUUUCAGGUGGGGUAAGCUGGGCUCGGGAUUGCUCCACCAA